rnacentral:pre_miRNA from 1 species
GUGAGAAUCACAGUGCAGCUCUCCUCUGGCAUGGAGGCAGAGAGAGGCAUGAACAAUAGAUAUUUGAUGUAAUUUCCAGCCUUUCUGUGCCAAAGGAGAGCUGCCCUGACAUUCAUUA